GACGAACGCUGGCGGCGUGCUUAACACAUGCAAGUCGAGCGAGGCCCCUCCUUCGGGAGGGUGUCCUAGCGGCGAACGGGUGAGUAACACGUGGGCAACCUGCCCUCAGCUCUGGGAUAACUCCGGGAAACCGGGGCUAAUACCGGAUACGACCUCCACGGGCAUCUGCGGAGGUGGAAAGUUUUUCGGCUGAGGAUGGGCCCGCGGCCUAUCAGCUAGUUGGUGGGGUAGUGGCCCACCAAGGCGACGACGGGUAGCCGGCCUGAGAGGGCGACCGGCCACACUGGGACUGAGACACGGCCCAGACUCCUACGGGAGGCAGCAGUGGGGAAUAUUGCGCAAUGGGCGAAAGCCUGACGCAGCGACGCCGCGUGAGGGACGAAGGCCUUCGGGUUGUAAACCUCUUUCAGCAGGGACGAAGCGAAAGUGACAGUACCUGCAGAAGAAGCACCGGCCAACUACGUG
rnacentral:rRNA from 1 species